UACGUAGGGUGCAAGCGUUAAUCGGAAUUACUGGGCGUAAAGCGUGCGCAGGCGGUUCGGAAAGACAGAUGUGAAAUCCCAAAGCUUAACUUUGGAACUGCAUUUUUAACUACCGGGCUAGAGUGUGUCAGAGGGAGGUGGAAUUCCGCGUGUAGCAGUGAAAUGCGUAGAUAUGCGGAGGAACACCGAUGGCGAAGGCAGCCUCCUGGGAUAACACUGACGCUCAUGCACGAAAGCGUGGGGAGCAAACAGG
rnacentral:rRNA from 1 species